UGACGUUUCCUGCCUGUAUUGGUCAAAUUUGAAACCAAUUCGAAAUUGCAUAUCUGGAUCAUCUAUCACCAGAAUAUUAACGUCGAGAUAAUGUCUCGCGAUAAUCUGAAUCGGAAAUUCGGAUAAUUAGUACCGAAUAAUCGACGUUCUACCAUUAUCUAUGGGAUAACGAAUAUUCGUCGUCGAAUCGAAUCUCGCAGUUCUCGAAACUUGGAAACUGACCACGAAAUCGAUCGUGGAAUCAAACUCUACAUAUUUUAUGCGUGUGCGCGUGGCUGUAACUCUCGAGUUACGAAUCAAAACAUUUUCAAGAUUUAGUCGUAAUGUCUCCUUUCUCUUUUUAACGUCUAGGUACAAAUUCCCUUAUAUCGAGAUUACAAGGACAGAAGGCAAAAGACAGAAAGCGUCGUAUCGCAAAUUUUAAGGAAUAUACUCGCGCGGCAUUCCUACGAAGAACAAAAUAUCUUAUAAUUUAAAUUGUACGUUAUGCGCGCGCGUAUCUCUCCAGAUACCAAAGUUUAAAAUUUAAAACACGAUACGUUAUAACUUUAUACUCGCGAAAGAUAAUUCGGAAUUUUAUUCCACUUUACAUUCGCGAAGCUCGUAAAUGUCUUCUUCUGCCUUUUUUGAC
rnacentral:misc_RNA from 1 species